UUUCCGUAGGUGAACCUGCGGAAGGAUCAUUAAUAAUCAGUGAUUCAUGGCACUUUUACCAAUAACCAUCUACCUUGUGCGCAAUGUCAGGGUUGAUUUUUCCCCCGAGAGGAUUUGCUCCAACCAUCAACUAUAUCUCAACCCUUUGACUGAAAAAUAUUAUGAAUAAAACAAUGCAAAAUAUAACUUUCAACAACCGAUCUCUUAGCUCUCACAUCGAUGAAGAAGGCAGCAGAUCGGAUGAAGACACGACUGAAUUCCAGUAACGCAUUGUCAUCC
rnacentral:misc_RNA from 1 species